AACCAGCUCUUCAAGUGGUCGGGAUAAUUAUUGGGCUUAAAGUGUCCGUAGCCGGUUUAGUAAGUUCCUGGUAAAAUCAGGUAGCCUAACUAUCUGUAUGCUAGGAAUACUGCUAUACUAGAGGGCGGGAGAGGUCUGAGGUACUACAGGGGUAGGGGUGAAAUCUUAUAAUCCUUGUAGGACCACCAGUGGCGAAGGCGUCAGACUGGAACGCGCCUGACGGUGAGGGACGAAAGCCAGGGGAGCGAACCGGAUUAGAUACCCGGGUAGUCCUGGCCGUAAACGAUGCAUACUAGGUGACGGCACGGCCAUGAGCCGUGUCAGUGCCGUAGGGAAACCGUUAAGUGUGCCGCCUGGGAAGUACGGUCGCAAGGCUAAAACUUAAAGGAAUUGGGCGGGGGAGCACCACGAAGGGGUGAAGCCUGCGGUUU
rnacentral:rRNA from 1 species